AUUGAACGCUGGCGGCAUGCCUUACACAUGCAAGUCGAACGGCAGCGGGCCUUCGGGUGCCGGCGAGUGGCGAACGGGUGAGUAAUGCAUCGGAACGUGCCAUUGAGUGGGGGAUAACGUAGCGAAAGUUGCGCUAAUACCGCAUAUUCUGUGAGCAGGAAAGCAGGGGACCGCAAGGCCUUGCGCUCUUUGAGCGGCCGAUGUCAGAUUAGCUAGUUGGUGAGGUAAAGGCUUACCAAGGCGACGAUCUGUAGCGGGUCUGAGAGGAUGAUCCGCCACACUGGAACUGAGACACGGUCCAGACUCCUACGGGAGGCAGCAGUGGGGAAUUUUGGACAAUGGGGGCGAACCCUCGAUCCAGCCAUGCCGCGUGAGUGAAGAAGG
rnacentral:rRNA from 1 species